ACCCUUGAGCCUGGCCCUAGCCCUGAAAGAACAAGAUCCAGGUGCUGUACCUGGGGGGUGGUAAUGGGUGCACACACCAGGAAGUAGGCGAGAGAGAGGGAGUAGUGGCGAUGACAGGGACAGGUGUCUAAACGUAUGCCUGAUGAUUCCAGCAGACCUGUCGAGAGCUACUUCAUCCUGUCCGUCUUGGCCAUGAUCUUUUGCUUUCCCUCAGCCUUCCAGCCUUAAUCUUAUCUUACCAGGCAAUGCUCUACAAUCAAUCAAAUGACCAUGAACAGGCAGCUACAACCACCAAAAUAGCUUUCUGCUUGGGCUUCACUGGCCUUAUUUUGGGCCGCUUCAGCUACCCCAUAUUGCUUCUUGUACUAUUAUUAUUAUUAAGGUAACCUUCCAAGCUCAUGAACAAACUACUGAAUAUAAACAACGG
ensembl:lncRNA